CGCUGUGAAGAUGCAGUGUACCCGCGGCAAGACGGAAAGACCCCGUGAACCUUUACUAUAGCUUGACACUGAACAUUGAGCCUUGAUGUGUAGGAUAGGUGGGAGGCUUUGAAGCGUGGACGCCAGUCUGCGUGGAGCCAACCUUGAAAUACCACCCUUUAAUGUUUGAUGUUCUAACGUGGACCCGUAAUCCGGGUUGCGGACAGUGUCUGGUGGGUAGUUUGACUGGGGCGGUSWCCUCC
rnacentral:rRNA from 1 species